GUGUUAGCUUUAGUUUGGCCACUUGAGAACAAAUUGACACCACAAUUUGAAAACUCUAAUGUUGUGCAGUUGGGUUUAAGCUCUGUCUGAUAUUUGCAUUCCGGUGGUUUGAAGGAACCAUUUGACAUGAAAAGCACUUUUCCCCUUUAAAGACAUCUGAUAAAAUUGGAUGCUGCAUGUAUGAUUACAACUUAGAAGCAAAGCAAAAUAAGUUUUUUUACUUAAACAAACUGUACUUAAAAAAAUAUAUUUUACAAAUCUACUUUUUGCACUUCAUAAUGAAAAUACAGCAACCAUACGCUGUUUCAAAUCUGUAGAAAAAGGACUCCUUGUCCAUACUUGUUAGUAAUCCAAAGUGCUUUCUUACAGUCACCUUGUGCUAGGAUCCCUUAUUGCCCUAUGUGCAUGAGGUCCAAAUUCAAUUUAGUUCCAUAACACCAACAAAUUAUCUGAAAGUUAAAAGCUUUUCCCCCCUUUUUGACUGUGUUUAUUUGAUUCAAAGAAUAUGAUCCUAAAAUCCAUCUAAAGGAGGGGGAAGUCUUCUUUAAGCCAGUAUCCUCGGGGCCCAAGUGUAGUGGUGUUUUUAUAGUAAAUGAGUCAUCAUUUGGUGAUGCAGGAAAUUACUGUCUACUAAAUUUGCUAACAGCUUUUAUGGAAGAGUAAUUCCGGCUAGAUUUUCUCUGACUUAGCUAAUUUUACUGUGCUAAUAUUACUUUGCUAUAUCUGAUCUUAGCUAAUUUUUAAUGUUAGUGAGAAACAAAAAAUACCUGCCUGUAUGAGAAAGAGGUUUUCUGGAAAAAGGGUGAGAGGUUCGCUGACGAACUCUAUAUUUUUGCUUAACUUCCUUGGGAGUCUCUCAAUUUUGCGGCCACCUGUUACAUCUUUUUCCUCAGACAGCCAAAACAGAAACUAUUUUUUUAAUGUAUCUUGUUUGUCUGUUUCUAUCUUUUGACCAAUUUUGUUUUUCAAGUAGAUAGAUAGAGAAGCCCAAGUCUUUUUGCUGAACUGCAUGAACAAAAACAUGUUUUUAUCCCCUCCUCCUUUAUUGAUGGCAUGCUCUGCAACUUUUGAUUAUAAAUGUUCUUGAUCAUAUUUGAUGUUUCAAAAUGAGAUGGGUUUUCAAAUAGAUCUUAGUGCUGUUGAUAAUGUAUGUGUUAAAAUUAUGAAAUUUUGAUCAAAAAAGCCACUGCAAUUUUUCUUUUCUUUUUUCCCCCACAAUUUGGGGCCUCGCAAGUUCUAUUAUCAUUUCUUGAUGAAAAGAGCGUUUUAUUAUUUUUUUUAUGCCAAAAUCUAAUGGUACUUGAAAUCCAAUUGAUGAGAAUUGUUUGGGUUGGGGUAUAAGAUAAUCGCCAUGAAAUUUGAGGGGCUUGAUGGCUGGAGAAUCUUCUUCCAAGGCUAGUUCAAAUAUAUUUGAUGUAAUUGAAAAUGCGAUUUUAGUUGCAGCUGUAGAUUGCCCAGAUCAGUUCAAGCAUCAGAGGGGUCUGAUUGCCGAGAAAGUUCUCUCUUUUUGUGAAACUCAUUGUUAUGUGCAUAACCAUAGUGAUUCUCUGAGACAUGCAAACAUCGAUAAUGGCUAUGAAGACUUCGUCAGUGGUUAGAGGAUGAUGGUAAAAGAGUGACUCAAUGCUACAACAGCUAUGCCAGGUUAUGGUUUAGCUACUUUGUUCCCAUUUUGUUCUCGCAUAGUCAUCUUCCAGCUCAGAUUAUUGUUAUAUAAGUUCAUUCUGAUAAUUCUGGGAGUGUGGAAUGUCAUUCAGCCUCUAAUCAUUCAGUUAUUCAUGAGGAAGUUUUUACUUUGAAAUUAACUCUGCUUGCUAAGUCAAUUGCUUUCCUUAUGAUUUGCUGAAAAUUUCCUUUUGUAAAUCAUGGUUGUUGUUCGACUUUAACACUGUGCAAUCUACUGCAUUUCCUUUUCCUGUUGCGUUAAACCAACUGAAGCAGAGAGGUCCUUCAAAGUUCAAGGAUUUAAUUGAACAAUUUCAGAGUUAAAGACCAAAUAAACAGAGUUCAGAAGUUCAGAACCAACAGCACCUUUGCCUUCUGUAUUGUGGUGAUCAAUCUCAGUUUGAAGGUUUUAUACAUGGAGAUUAUGUUUUUCUUUGUUUCUUUGUGCAACAGAGAAGCAAUGGAUGCAAACUAAGGAUCUACAAGAGAAUGGCUUAAAGCUCAAGUUCGAAGUUCAAACCAAAAGGUCGUAUCUAAAACUGAUACUCACAAAAGUCCGGAUGAAAUCACAUUUCUCAAAAGGCCAUCCAAGAUCAACAGGGGGUUGAGUUUCUAGAUGAUGCUGCCAUCAAAGCAAAACUUGAGGCCAGAAAGCGGAGCAAGAUGAUUACCAAGAAGCAGAAAAAGA